UAAAUAAAUUAAUUAAAUAAAAUAAGAUAGGAACAAUGCAGAGAAGAUUAGCAAGGCCCUUGCACAAGGAUGUCAUGAAAAUUUGCUAAGCAUUCCGUAUAUUU
rfam:Homo sapiens chromosome 2, GRCh38 reference primary assembly.